UUAGCUGGUUUGUCCAGUGCUGA
rnacentral:miRNA from 1 species